CUGGCAGCUCGUUUUUCUGAAUCCUGCAGCAGCCACCAGGCUCUUCUCAGGGCUCCUGAAAUUCCGACCAUAGGUUUAUUUGUAUCUAUCCUGCUUAUUUAAAUAAUAAGAAGACCAUCGCAGAGGGAAGGCGAAUCCCCAUAAGUAAGGCUGUUGAAAAUCCUACAGCUACAGAGAUUCAAGAUGUAUGUUCAGCAGUUGGACUUAACGUAUUUCUUGAGAAAAAUAAAAUGUACUCUAGAGAAUGGAAUCGUGAUGUCCAAUACAGAGGCAGAGUCCGGGUCCAGCUCAAACAGGAAGAUGGGAGCCUCUGCCUUGUACAGUUCCCAUCACGUAAGUCAGUAAUGUUGUAUGCAGCAGAAAUGAUACCUAAACUAAAAACAAGGACACAAAAAACAGGAGGUGCUGACCAAAGUCUUCAACAAGGAGAGGGAAGUAAAAAAGGGAAAGGAAAGAAAAAGAAGUAACCUAGUAUCAGCAUCAAGUAUGUGGUACUACUGUAAGAGACAUGAAUGGAGACUUCUAAUUUGUAUCGGAGGGAAACAGAAGCUUUUUGUUUGCAUCAUUUAACUGAACUGUGAACCCUUGUGCCUCUCAUCUUUAUCAUCGGAGUUGACAGUGAAACAAAUUUACAUCAGAAGUUUGCAUCUCGCGUAUAUGCCGUAUAAAAGAAUUUUUUUGU
rnacentral:lncRNA from 1 species